rnacentral:rRNA from 1 species
GACGAACGCUGGCGGCGUGCUUAACACAUGCAAGUCGAACGGAAAGGCCCUGCUUUUGUGGGGUGCUCGAGUGGCGAACGGGUGAGUAACACGUGAGUAACCUGCCCUUGACUUUGGGAUAACUUCAGGAAACUGGGGCUAAUACCGGAUAGGAGCUCCUGCUGCAUGGUGGGGGUUGGAAAGUUUCGGCGGUUGGGGAUGGACUCGCGGCUUAUCAGCUUGUUGGUGGGGUAGUGGCUUACCAAGGCUUUGACGGGUAGCCGGCCUGAGAGGGUGACCGGCCACAUUGGGACUGAGAUACGGCCCAGACUCCUACGGGAGGCAGCAGUGGGGAAUAUUGCACAAUGGGCGGAAGCCUGAUGCAGCAACGCCGCGUGCGGGAUGACGGCCUUCGGGUUGUAAACCGCUUUCGCCUGUGACGAAGCGUGAGUGACGGUAAUGGGUAAAGAAGCACCGGCUAACUACGUGCCAGCAGCCGCGGUGAUACGUAGGGUGCGAGCGUUGUCCGGAUUUAUUGGGCGUAAAGGGCUCGUAGGUGGUUGAUCGCGUCGGAAGUGUAAUCUUGGGGCUUAACCCUGAGCGUGCUUUCGAUACGGGUUGACUUGAGGAAGGUAGGAGAGAAUGGAAUUCCUGGUGGAGCGGUGGAAUGCGCAGAUAUCAGGAGGAACACCAGUGGCGAAGGCGGUUCUCUGGGCCUUUCCUGACGCUGAGGAGCGAAAGCGUGGGGAGCGAACAGGCUUAGAUACCCUGGUAGUCCACGCUGUAAACGGUGGGUACUAGGUGUGGGGUCCAUUCCACGGGUUCCGUGCCGUAGCUAACGCUUUAAGUACCCCGCCUGGGGAGUACGGCCGCAAGGCUAAAACUCAAAGGAAUUGACGGGGCCCCGCACAAGCGGCGGAGCAUGCGGAUUAAUUCGAUGCAACGCGUAGAACCUUACCUGGGUUUGACAUGGAUCGGGAGUGCUCAGAGAUGGGUGUGCCUCUUUUGGGGUCGGUUCACAGGUGGUGCAUGGCUGUCGUCAGCUCGUGUCGUGAGAUGUUGGGUUAAGUCCCGCAACGAGCGCAACCCUUGUUCACUGUUGCCAGCACGUUAUGGUGGGGACUCAGUGGAGACCGCCGGGGUCAACUCGGAGGAAGGUGGGGAUGACGUCAAGUCAUCAUGCCCCUUAUGUCCAGGGCUUCACGCAUGCUACAAUGGCUGGUACAGAGAGUGGCGAGCCUGUGAGGGUGAGCGAAUCUCGGAAAGCCGGUCUCAGUUCGGAUUGGGGUCUGCAACUCGACCUCAUGAAGUCGGAGUCGCUAGUAAUCGCAGAUCAGCAACGCUGCGGUGAAUACGUUCCCGGGGCU